AGUCUAUGGUGUGGACAUUUCUGAAGCAAAUCUCUAAAUUUUUUUCGCGUUUCAUAUAAUGAUUCAUCCUCUUAUUGGUUAAAACUAGUUAUAUCCAUUCUAAAAUU